GAGCCCGGCCUACUUCCUCGCCAGAGAAACUGCCGCCAGCCCCGGCGGGAAGGGUUAAUGCCACCGAGUGUCCAGACCCGCCGAAGCCUAGAGGGCCUUGCACCGGCUCACCGCGUGGCUGUCGCUGUCUCGUUUCCCCAGUGGGGGAGGCGUCGCACUGCCACGUCUGUUCUGCGUGGCUGUCGGGCGGCGUUUGGUCCCGGGAGCCUCGCCGGAGAAACGGAGACCUAAGAAGUGACUUGCUCAGGGUCACAUAGCUCAGCAGUGGCGGCCGCUAAUCGGAAAUAGCUCUCCUGUUGUGGUAUCCUCUGCGUUUUCCACUCCAGUAUUUCUUCCCUAGAAAAUGGGAUCCUUGUUUUCAUCUUAUAUCUCAUGCAGCGCCUAACAUAGUCACCUGCACCUGGAAUGGAUAAAAGUGGCAGUUUUUGUUUCUUCCCAUGAGGUUGUGUAUCUGGAAUAAGAACCAGGAAAUUAAUCUAGACUAAGACAUUUCUAAGGACCUGGAAUGGCUUUGGGGAGCACCAGGAGGACCUGAAAAGAGUAUUUGAGGGCCUAGAGGGACAGAAGAGUUUGCCAGUAGGAUUUAUGAGAAACAAUUGAUCAGAAACAGCAGCAGAGAAACCUUUUAGAUUUCUUCUGUGGAAAAGUUGAGUCUUGGUUCAAAUUAAGUAAAAUAAACCCUGAAGAGAAAUCAAAGUCUCAAAUAUAAAAAGUAUGUUACUUAUAAU
rnacentral:sRNA from 1 species